AGUGAACGCUGGCGGCAGGCCUAACACAUGCAAGUCGAGCGGCAGCGGGUCCUUCGGGAUGCCGGCGAGCGGCGGACGGGUGAGGAAUGCGUCGGAAUCUGCCUCUUUGUGGGGGAUAACGUAGGGAAACUUACGCUAAUACCGCAUACGACCUACGGGUGAAAGUGGGGGACCGCAAGGCCUCACGCAGAGAGAGGAGCCGACGCCGGAUUAGCUAGUUGGCGGGGUAAAGGCCCACCAAGGCGACGAUCCGUAGCUGGUCUGAGAGGAUGAUCAGCCACACUGGAACUGAGACACGGUCCAGACUCCUACGGGAGGCAGCAGUGGGGAAUAUUGGACAAUGGGCGCAAGCCUGAUCCAGCCAUGCCGCGUGAGUGAAGAAGGCCUUCGGGUUGUAAAGCUCUUUUGUUGGGGAAGAAAUCCUGUCGGCUAAUACCCGGCGGGGAUGACGGUACCCAAAGAAUAAGCACCGGCUAACUUCGUGCCAGCCGCCGCAGUAA
rnacentral:rRNA from 1 species